rnacentral:tRNA from 1 species
AGUGAGGUAGCUCAGCAUGGUAGAGCAGAGAAACCAAGCCGAUCAUGGGUGUGGUCGGUACAGCAAAAAAUCUAUUGUCGCUGGUUCGAUUCCAGCCCUCACUC